AUUGAAUAUUCCUAUUGAGGAUAAAUUUUAAAAAGAAAAGGUCAUAGAACCUUUUUUGUACAUACCGGAUUUGGGCCCCUGGAACAGAAAGAAGGAGCAUUAGUUUCUGCAGCUUCCGUAUUAC